rnacentral:rRNA from 1 species
GUAAAUAGGGACCUGUAUGAACGGCCACAUGAGAAAGAAACUGUCUCUUGAAGAUAGCCAGUGAAACUGAUCUGCUUGUUCAAAAGCAAGCAUAAUUAAGCUAGACAAAAAGACCCUGCGAAACUUAAAGCCAAGCACUAAACAAACUAAUGCCUAACUUUUAGUUGGGGCAACUAUGAUAUACUAAACAUCUUAAAAAUCCUAAACCAACAAGUUAAAACUACUCUAACAGAGAUCCGGCACAGCCGACCAACGAACCAAGCUACUCCAGGGAUAACAGCGCCAAAUUCUUUGAGAGUCCACAUCAACAAGAAUUCUUACGACCUCGAUGUUGGAUCAGGGUAUCCAAACAGCGCAKAAKCUGUUAACGGCUCGUUUGUUCAACGACUAA